GACAGAGGGUGCAAACGUUGUUCGGAAUUACUGGGCGUAAAGCGCGUGUAGGCGGCUUGGAAAGUCGGGUGUGAAAGCCCUGGGCUCAACCCAGGAAGUGCACUCGAAACUUCCGAGCUCGAGUCUUGGAGAGGGAAGCGGAAUUCUCGGUGUAGAGGUGAAAUUCGUAGAUAUCGAGAGGAACACCGGUGGCGAAGGCGGCUUCCUGGACAAUGACUGACGCUGAGACGCGAAAGCGUGGGGAGCAAACAGG
rnacentral:rRNA from 1 species